GAGAGCCGGAUGCGGGAAAUCCGCCUGUCCGGUUCGAUGAGCGGGAUGUGGAACCGGAGUUAUGGAUCGUCGAUUGCGAC
rnacentral:ncRNA from 1 species